AUUGAACGCUGGCGGCAGGCCUAACACAUGCAAGUCGAGCGGAGCGGCGGACGGGUGAGUAAUGCCUAGGAAUCUGCCUGGUCGUGGGGGAUAACGUCCGGAAACGGGCGCUAAUACCGCAUACUAUCAUAUGGGCCUAGGUCGGAUGAGCUAGUUGGUGGGGUAAAGGACUACCAAGGCGACGAUCCGUAACUGGUCUGAGAGGAUGAUCAGUCACACGGGAACUGAGUGACGGUGCAGUCUCGUACGGGGGGCAGCGGUGGGGAAUAUGGGACAAUGGGCGAAAGCCUGAGAACGCGAUGCCGGGUGUGUGAAGAAGGUCUGCGGGUUGUGAACCGCUGUCAGCCAUGACGCGGUAGUGACAGAAGAAGCACCGGCUAACUACGUGCCAGCAGCCGCGGUAAUAC
rnacentral:rRNA from 1 species